GCUGGGUUAAAUACAACCCAGUUGGGCUAAAUGUCUGGGUUUGUCCCUAUGUUACCCAGCACUGGGUUGUAUUUAACCCAGCAUUUUUUAGAGUGUAAAAACAAAUCAGA